UACGUAGGGUGCAAGCGUUGUCCGGAAUUAUUGGGCGUAAAGGGCGCGUAGGCGGGAUGGCAAGUCGGUCGUGAAAUCCCUCGGCUCAACCGAGGAACGUCGAUCGAUACUGCUGUUCUUGAGGAUUGCAGAGGAGACUGGAAUUCCCGGUGUAGCGGUGAAAUGUGUAGAGAUCGGGAGGAACACCGGUGGCGAAGGCGGGUCUCUGGGCAAUUCCUGACGCUGAGGCGCGAAAGCGUGGGGAGCAAACGGG
rnacentral:rRNA from 1 species